CGCCACGGCAGCUACAAACUUCGCCACUUGUUCAAUGUUGAUCGGCGUGACUUGAUCUGGACACGAAGGGAAUAAACACAUAACGCAACAAACAAGAUGAGCAAUUUUGGCGAGCGUGAUUUCUCCUUUCCAACCACAAACUCCGCCCCUCGUGAGCUCCCGCCGUCAAGAGCUGGACGUCAGACCGCAGCGCACGGGCCCCAGGAUUGGGUGUCUCCACUUGACGCAAGUUUCCGGCGGCCAUCCGCGGAAACCAGCCCGCCCAUUGGCUGCCCCCCUUUUCCUUUGAUCUUGAGCCGCCCGACCUCCUAUUGGCUAGGGCCCUUCUCUCUUUCAACUUUUCGUCGUAACAUCAAUUCACUCGCCUCUUUGUGGUUGUCUAGUUUUUUUUAUUUUUAUUGAAAACUAAACGCAAACCAAAGGCUA